rnacentral:lncRNA from 1 species
AGAAUACUCUAUGAUAUGAUUUAGAAUCUCUGGUCAGAGUAUGAAUGAGAUUUCGGAAGUCGUUUCAAAUCACAUUCAAGGUAAUCAUAUAAGACCACGAAUCACAUUGGAUAGUAGACAUGAAUAAAUAAACUAUCAAACCAAAUAAUGUGGUCAAGAGUAUUGUAUUAGAGAAAGACCGUAUUGCAUUUGUAAUCCUAAACUGAAUAGGUUCUCCACCUCUUCUAAUUAGCUUAGGUAACCAUGAUAUGCUGUUAGGUGUCACUCAUGGUUUGUGGAAGCCCUAAACGUGUGUAAUCACUAAAGGGAGAAUUGAAAGUAAGUU